CCUACGGGGGGCAGCAGUCGGGAAUCUUGCGCAAUGGAGGAAACUCUGACGGAGCGACGCCGCGUGCAGGAAGAAGGUUUUCGGAUUGUAAACUGCUUUAGACAGGGAAGAACAAAGACAGUACCUGUAGAAUAAGCUCCGGCUAAAUACGUGCCAGCAGCCGCGGUAAUACAUAGGGCGCAAGCGUUAGCCGGAUUGAAUGGGUGUAAAGGGUGCGUAGAUGGAGAAGCAAGAUAGUUGUGAAAUCCCUCGGCUUAACUGAGGAAAUGCAACUGAAACUACUUCCCUUGAGUACUGGAGAGGAAAGUGGAAGUCCAAGUGUAGCGGUGAAAUGCGUAGAUAUUAGGAGGAACACCAGUGGCGAAGGCGACUUUCUGGACAGUAACUGACGUUGAGGCACGAAAGUGUGGGGAGCAAACAGGAUUAGAUACCCUUGUAGUC
rnacentral:rRNA from 1 species